GUUUGGACUCACAUCUGAUGGCUCUGAGUCGAGGUAUGACACCCGGGCUGGCGGGCGGCGUGGUGCUCUCGUUCCCCUUCCUCUUGUCCACACUAGGAGACGCCUGGACUGUGAUCUUAUGCUCAAAGCCUACAGCCACAUGAACUUGAAUCUGAAUUGUUAAACAUGUGUUGUGGAACCCUGGACCUGCCUGCCUAUGUCUCACCUUCUCUUUGGCCCUGAGCUCAUCAAACAUCUGUUGGAUCUCCAGCCUCCAGUCUUCUUGUAAGGAGUGAAAGGACUCCAGAGGCAUCUGAAACAUGGCCGACUGCUCGAUGGCCAGCAGUCGCCUCAGGAUGCUGGUGAAGGAGGGCCUGCUGCGGGGGUUCGGGCUCCAGCACUCUGACGGGAGGAAAGACAUCACUGAGUAGAGAAAGCAACAGCAGAAGAGGAAGAGAGCAGGAUGGGAUGGCAUAUGGCGACCAUCAUGAGCCAAACCCUGACAACAUGGUGCACACCUACAGUGAUCAGGAAGUACCGCCUCUCUAAAGCUGUAAUGCAAUUCAAGGCCUGGUUAUGGAAAUAUUUGAAGUGUACACAGUUCACAGGCACUGGGAGGCAGCAGAAACAGGUGUAGCCUGCAGGGUGGGACAGCUGUUGCCGUGGCGCCGAGUCAGCGAAUCAGGUCCUGACAGAGUCUCUUACACCUCCCUCUAACUCUCCGCGGCUCACAACACCUUCACGGCUCCUCAUCCUUUCCCUGCAUGCCCAGAGCUGCUGCUUGUUUAGGCACAACACCACCACCUCAGUGCUGGUCCCAGCCGUCUGUCAGGGUGAUGAAUACAGCAACUUGACUGACGUGGAGGCGAGCCGACGGUGCAUUAACACAGAUGAGCUACGGGCCCGUGGGAUGCUGAGCAGCCAGCCCCCCCGCCCCGCAGGCCCAACGUCUCUGUUUCUUCUACAAAGAUCAAAACCUUGCCAACUAAAAAAGAAAGUGGGUGAAGGACUUUCGGCUCGGGGGACACCCAGCGCCCUCUCUGCUUGGCCCGACUCCCCUCUCUCCGUGCCAGGCUGCUGGCAAACAACAAUGACCCUCUAACAGCCGAGUCAACAGCCACCGAACAUACAACAGCCCAGGAGGUGCCAAUGUGAGUGUGUGACUUGACUGUGUUUAUUGCUUUGUCUACUGAAAUGCACGGCUUUGCCCCCGUGUAGUGGCGAGAAACACAAAGUCAUAUUGUGCUUAUAUUCAGGAGCAUUAUUCUGCAGGAAACUUUGACUUAAAGGUAGAGUGUGUAGGAUUUGGCAAAAUCUAGUGGUGUGGUUGCAGAUUGCAACCAACUGUUUCCGCUCACUCCUCCCUUCCCAAGACUGCGAUAACGUGAGCUGCCGAGC